UACGAAGGGGGCUAGCGUUGCUCGGAAUUACUGGGCGUAAAGGGCGCGUAGGCGGCCUACUAAGUCGGACGUGAAAUCCCUCGGCUCAAUCGGGGAACUGCGUCCGAUACUGGUGGGCUUGAAUCCGGGAGAGGGAUGUGGAAUUCCAGGUGUAGCGGUGAAAUGCGUAGAUAUCUGGAGGAACACCGGUGGCGAAGGCGGCAUCCUGGACCGGUAUUGACGCUGAUGCGCGAAAGCCAGGGGAGCAAACGGG
rnacentral:rRNA from 1 species